UAAUAGGUUUCUUUAGAAACCACAGAAAAAACACUUAAUGAAUCGA
rfam:Ailuropoda melanoleuca scaffold242_33, whole genome shotgun sequence.